GACGAACGCUGGCGGCGUGCUUAACACAUGCAAGUCGAACGGAAAGGCCCCUUUGGGGGUACUCGAGUGGCGAACGGGUGAGUAACACGUGAGUAACCUGCCCUUGACUUCGGGAUAACUUCAGGAACCUGGGGCUAAUACCGGAUAGGAAUCCUUGCUGCAUGGUGGGGGUUGGAAAGCUUCGGCGGUUUUGGCUGGACUCGCGGCUUAUCUGCUUGUUGGUGGGGUAGUGGCUUACCAAGGCUUUGACGGGUAGCCGGCCUGAGAGGGCGACCGGCCACAUUGGGACUGAGAUACGGCCCAGACUCCUACGGGAGGCAGCAGUGGGGAAUAUUGCACAAUGGGCGGAAGCCUGAUGCAGCAACGCCGCGUGCGGGAGGACGGCCUUCGGGUUGUAAACCGCUUUCAGCAGGAGCGAAGCUUGUGGUGACGGUACCUGCAGAAGAAGCACCGGCUAACUACGUG
rnacentral:rRNA from 1 species